rnacentral:rRNA from 1 species
UACGAAGGGGGCUAGCGUUGCUCGGAAUUACUGGGCGUAAAGCGCACGUAGGCGGCUUUCUAAGUCGGGGGGUGAAAUCCUGGAGCUCAACUCCAGAACUGCCUUCGAUACUGGAGAGCUUGAGUCCGGGAGAGGUGAGUGGAACUGCGAGUGUAGAGGUGAAAUUUCGUAGAUAUUCGCAAGAACACCAGUGGCGAAGGCGGCUCACUGGCCCGAUACUGACGCUGAGGCACGAAAGCGUGGGGAGCAAACGGGG